GCCGGGGUAGUUAAGCGGUCUAAUACUUCUCUUGACAGGAAGCGACUCGGGUUCAACUCCCGGCCCCGGCU
rnacentral:tRNA from 1 species